AGUGAACGCUGGCGGUAGGCCUAGCACAUGCAAGUCGAACGGCAGCACAGUAAGAGCUUGCUCUUACGGGUGGCGAGUGGCGGACGGGUGAGGAAUACAUCGGAAUCUACUUUUUCGUGGGGGAUAACGUAGGGAAACUUACGCUAUUACCGCAUACGACCUACGGGUGAAAGCAGGGGAUCUUCGGACCUUGCGCGAUUGAAUGAGCCGAUGUCGGAUUAGCUAGUUGGCGGGGUAAAGGCCCACCAAGGCGACGAUCCGUAGCUGGUCUGAGAGGAUGAUCAGCCACACUGGAACUGAGACACGGUCCAGACUCCUACGGGAGGCAGCAGUGGGGAAUAUUGGACAAUGGGCGCAAGCCUGAUCCAGCCAUACCGCGUGGGUGAAGAAGGCCUUCGGGUUGUAAAGCCCUUUUGUUGGGAAAGAAAAGCAGCAGGUUAAUACCCCGCUGUUCUGACGGUACCCAAAGAAUAAGCACCGGCUAACUUCGUG
rnacentral:rRNA from 1 species